GACGAACGCUGGCGGCGUGCUUAACACAUGCAAGUCGAACGGAAAGGCCCUGCUUUUGUGGGGUGCUCGAGUGGCGAACGGGUGAGUAACACGUGAGUAACCUGCCCUUGACUUUGGGAUAACUUCAGGAAACUGGGGCUAAUACCGGAUAGGAGCUCCUGCUGCAUGGUGGGGGUUGGAAAGUUUCGGCGGUUGGGGAUGGACUCGCGGCUUAUCAGCUUGUUGGUGGGGUAGUGGCUUACCAAGGCUUUGACGGGUAGCCGGCCUGAGAGGGUGACCGGCCACAUUGGGACUGAGAUACGGCCCAGACUCCUACGGGAGGCAGCAGUGGGGAAUAUUGCACAGUGGGCGGAAGCCUGAUGCAGCAACGCCGCGCGCGGGAUGACGGCCUUCGGGUUGUAAACCGCUUUCGCCUGUGACGAAGCGUGAGUGACGGUAAUGGGUAAAGAAGCACCGGCUAACUACGUG
rnacentral:rRNA from 1 species